rnacentral:rRNA from 1 species
AGCGAACGCUGGCGGCAGGCUUAACACAUGCAAGUCGAGCGGGCAUAGCAAUAUGUCGGCGGCAGACGGGUGAGUAACGCGUGGGAACGUACCUUUUGGUUCGGAACAACACAGGGAAACUUGUUCUAAUACCGGAUAAGCACUCACGGGGAAAGAUUUAUCGCCGAAAGAUCGGCCCGUGUCUGAUUAGCUGGUUGGUGAGGUAAUGGCAUACCAAGGUGACGUUUAGUAGCUGGGCUGAGCGGAUGACCAACCAGAAUGGGACUGAGACACGGACCAAUCUCCUACGCAGGGGAGCAGAGUAGAAUAUUAGGCAAUGGACGCUAGCGUGGUCCAGCCAUGCCGCGUAAGUGGUGAAGGCCGUAGGAUUGUAAAGCUGUUUUGUGCGGAAAGAUAAUGACGGUACCGCAAGAAUAAGCCCCGGCUAACUUCGUG